AUGGAUUCCAAAAGAACAAUUCUCAUUCUUGGCCUCUUGGCAAUGGUUCUUCUUAUUUCCUCAGAGGUCUCAGCUAGGGAGUUUACUGAAGAGGUUGUUGAAAAGUCAAAUGAACUUAAUGAUGCCAAAUUUCUUGGUUUUCAUCGACACCAUCACCGUCACCGUCACGGUCACCGUCAUGGUCAUGGGCACGGCGGUUAUCAUGGUGGACACGGUGUUUCUUCCGACAAUGGUAACUGA